rnacentral:lncRNA from 1 species
GUAAAAGGGUAUCCUUUUCUUUGCUUUCUUUUCUGUCUUUCUAUCAAUCUUUUUCUAGAACUUGAUUGAAUUUGAAGAUUUUGAAGAAUAUGGCUCUUGAAGCUCUGAAUUCUCCUACCACGGCUACACCUUUCAGCAACAAAUAUGAGGACAUCGACAACAAUUAUCUCGAGACAUGGAAGAAAGGCAAACGUACAAAGCGACCACGUACCGAUUCUCCACCGACUGAAGAAGAGUACCUUGCUCUCUGUCUCAUCAUGCUAGCUCGUGGAUCCGCCAACGACAGCACAAAC